rnacentral:rRNA from 1 species
UUGACCUCGGAUCAGGUAGGACUACCCGCUGAACUUAAGCAUAUCAAUAAGCGGAGGAAAAGAAACCAACAGGGAUUGCCCCAGUAACG